UUAUGCCCAAAGGUCUACACGCAACUUCAUUGUGUCCAUAAGGACAAGCUCGCUCUCUCUCUCUAGUCCUAUUUCUCUCGUUCUCCUCCUCUCCUCUUCUGCCGAAAUCAAUGCUGGAGGCGACCCUCUCCAAUCGAUCUCCGUCAGUGAAUUGCACAGAUCCACACAAAUAACCACCGUAUCACCAGUUCCUCACCGCCGAUCUCUUUCCUCUCUCUCCUUCAUCGUCGUCUGUUCAUCGCCAAAUUUUCUACCACCAACGCCAAACUCGACGGGACUGCCGAGUCUCCGAUCUGCCUCAUGUGGCUCGGAUCUCACUCCCCAUGCCCAUCGUGCUGCCAGAUCCUCGCCGUGGCUCGGUGUCAAAAGUGCGGUGGCUCAGUGUCGAUGGUUGAGAGCCUCGAGUGAAGUUAGAGAGAGGGAGAGAGUUGAUCUCUACUUCUUGGUCACUUUCUCUAUUUUCCCAAGCUUAGUUAGCUCUAUUCCAUGAGUUAUCAACACUCACAAAUUCCUAGAUUAACCACCAUUGAUGCCCUAUUUGGAGCUUUCUUCUCAGAGCAUUUCUAGAUCUACAUAAAACUGGUGUGGUGGAAGCUAAAUAAUUUUGUGUUUGGUUGCUUAUAGAAAUUGAAAGAAAUGAAUCUCUCUCUCUCUCUCUCUCUCAUAUACUAUUUUUUUUUUUUGGAUCUGGCUUCUUCUUGUAUGUAUGUAUGAGUUGAUGAGGAUGAGUCUGAUUGCUUCCUUUCUAUUCUUCCUCAAUUUUUCACAUCUCCUGCUUGCUGUAGGUGUAUUGCUUGAAGAUUUUCAUACAGAUAGGUUGAGAAUUCCAUUAGUACAAAUAGAUUGUAAAUUCCACUUUC